rnacentral:rRNA from 1 species
UACGUAGGGAGCAAGCGUUGUCCGGAAUCAUUGGGCGUAAAGCGCGCGUAGGUGGCCACAUAAGUCCGUUGUGAAAGUCAAAGGCUCAACCUUUGAAAGCCGAUGGAUACUGUGUGGCUAGAGUACGGAAGAGGCGAGUGGAAUUCCUGGUGUAGCGGUGGAAUGCGCAGAUAUCAGGAGGAACACCAGUGGCGAAGGCGGUUGCCUGGGGCUUUGCUGACGCUGAGGCGCGAAAGCGUGGGGAGCGAUCCGG